rnacentral:rRNA from 1 species
AUGUUGGAGAUCUUGGAGUAUGGCUACCAAGCUGUUGACCCGAAGAAUCUUACUCCAAGAGAGGUAUAUGACAAGAAUCUCAGUGACACAGCAACCAUGUGCAUAAGAAGAGGUAUGACCGACAAGAAAAGGAGACCAUACAUACAUAUCACAAGUGCCAAGGAAUUAUGGGAUACCAUUGUGAGAACCAAGACCAGCACCUCCACUCUCCGGCUUGCUCAAUAUGAAAUUGCCAAGGGUCAAUCACAAAAAAAUUGUAUGGAGAAAGGUGAAUCUCCCAAGAAACUACUUGAGCGUCUCAUGACUCUCACCGCCAACAUUGAGUCAUGUGAAUGUGACAAGACUCAAGAUGGAUUUAACUUGACCAAGCGAUUUCUUGUGGAUAAAUUGCUUCAUGCUCUUGCUCCAUAUCAUCACCAAAUGGUGUGGGGCAUAAGAAAACACCAUGGAUUCAAGGAAAUGACUUCGGGUGACAUCAUAUCUACUUUCCAACAAUUUUAA